rnacentral:sRNA from 1 species
GCGUGAUCCACCAUGCCCCCUACUUUGAGCAUGAUGGAUCACAUUAAACC